AGGGCAGCGGCAGCCUAUAAUGCAGUCGAACGGGAUUGAGAAGCUUGCUUUUCAUGAGAGUGGCGCACGGGUGCGUAACACGUAUGUAACCUACCUUAAUCUGGGGGAUAGCCUCUCGAAAGAGAGAUUAACACCGCAUAACAUUACCGGACAGCAUUUUCUGGUAAUCAAAUAUUUAUAGGAUUAAGAUGGGCAUGCGGAACAUUAGCUAGUUGGUAAGGUAAUGGCUUACCAAGGCUACGAUGUUUAGGGGAUCUGAGAGGAUGACCCCCCACACUGGUACUGAGACACGGACCAGACUCCUACGGGAGGCAGCAGUAAGGAAUAUUGGUCAAUGGGCGCAAGCCUGAACCAGCCAUGCCGCGUGCAGGAAGACGGCCCUACGGGUUGUAAACUGCUUUUGUACCGGAAUAAACCUUUUCACGUGUGAGAAGCUGAAUGUACGGUAAGAAUAAGGAUCGGCUAACUCCGUGCCAGCAGCCGCGGUAAUACGGAGGAUCCAAGCGUUAUCCGGAUUUAUUGGGUUUAAAGGGUGCGUAGGCGGUUCUUUAAGUCAGGGGUGAAAGACGGUAGCUUAACUAUCGCAGUGCCUUUGAUACUGAAGAACUUGAAUACACUUGAGGUAGGCGGAAUGUGACAAGUAGCGGUGAAAUGCAUAGAUAUGUCACAGAACACCAAUUGCGAAGGCAGCUUACUAAAGUGUCAUUGACGCUGAGGCACGAAAGCGUGGGGAUCAAACAGGAUUAGAUACCCUGGUAGUCCACGCCCUAAACGAUGAAUACUCGAUGUUGGCGAUAUACGGUCAGCGUCUAAGCGAAAGCGUUAAGUAUUCCACCUGGGGAGUACGCCCGCAAGGGUGAAACUCAAAGGAAUUGACGGGGGCCCGCACAAGCGGAGGAGCAUGUGGUUUAAUUCGAUGAUACGCGAGGAACCUUACCCGGGCUUGAAAGUUAGUGAAUGAUUCAGAGACGAAUCAGUCCUU
rnacentral:rRNA from 1 species